rnacentral:rRNA from 1 species
UACAGAGGGUGCGAGCGUUAAUCGGAAUUACUGGGCGUAAAGCGCGCGUAGGCGGCUUUGCAAGUCGGGUGUGAAAUCCCCAGGCUUAACCUGGGAACUGCAUUCGAGACUGCAUUGCUAGAGUAUGGGGAGAGGGAAGUGGAAUUUCCGGUGUAGCGGUGAAAUGCGUAGAUAUCGGAAGGAACAUCAGUGGCGAAAGCGACUUCCUGGACCAAUACUGACGCUCAUGUGCGAAAGCGUGGGGAGCGAACAGG